rnacentral:rRNA from 1 species
UACAGAGGGGGCAAGCGUUGUUCGGAAUUACUGGGCGUAAAGGGCGCGUAGGCGGCCUGUUAAGUCGAACGUGAAAUCCCCGGGCUCAACCCGGGAACUGCGUCCGAUACUGGCAGGCUUGAAUUCGGGAGAGGGAUGCGGAAUUCCAGGUGUAGCGGUGAAAUGCGUAGAUAUCUGGAGGAACACCGGUGGCGAAGGCGGCAUCCUGGACCGGCAUUGACGCUGAGGCGCGAAAGCCAGGGGAGCAAACGGG